UUUAUUUAUUUUUGUUUGGAGUUUUCUCGUUAAUUAAGUUGAAUUAAGAAAUUUUUGAGAGAAAGAUGGCACGCUUCCUGUUUUGUUUAUUUUUUUAAAAAAUAAAUUUUGCUGAAAAUGUGAAUCAACUAGAAUUUAAAUUUGAAAUCUUGGAUACCAACAACCAAGCCUUUUGUCAUUUCCUCUGCAGACGGUCGGUAGUUGUAUCACUUAAUCCUUACAUAUUAGUAGUUAAAACAAUAUAUAUAAGGUAAAAAUGCGAAAAGCUUAUCUGAACUGAACUAUGAACCAUUUAUCUAAUCUUUUAAAAUUUUAAUUUACUAUACAACAUUUCAAAAUUUACACUUACUACUAAAUUAAUGAAUUUGUAGUUACGAGAAUCGGAUGAUAUAUACUAUUUAAAUCUGUACAGAUAAAUAAUCGAUGUAUUCAAAUUUUAAAGUUAAAUUAUUAUUGAUUAAUUCAAAUUAGAAAAUUAAAAAAUUGGACAAUAGGGAUUAUGUCAUUGAUUCUAAUAAAAAAAUAAAAAGAAAAAGAAAAAGAAAGAAAGAAAAAAAGG
rnacentral:lncRNA from 1 species